ensembl:snRNA U6 U6 spliceosomal RNA
GUGCUUGCUUUGGCAGCACAUAUACUAAAAUUGAAAUGAUACAGAGAAGAUUAGCAUAGUCCCUGAGCAAGGAUGACAUGCAAAUAAAAAUUUAA